UACGGAGGGGGCUAGCGUUAAUCGGAAUUACUGGGCGUAAAGCGUGCGCAGGCGGUUCGCUAAGACCGAUGUGAAAUCCCCGGGCUUAACCUGGGAACUGCAUUGGUGACUGGCGGGCUAGAGUGUGGCAGAGGGGGGUAGAAUUCCGCGUGUAGCAGUGAAAUGCGUAGAGAUGUGGAGGAAUACCGAUGGCGAAGGCAGCCCCCUGGGCUAACACUGACGCUCAUGCACGAAAGCGUGGGGAGCAAACAGG
rnacentral:rRNA from 1 species